AGUGAACGCUGGUGGUAGGCCUAACACAUGCAAGUCGAACGGCAGCACAGUAAGAGCUUGCUCUUACGGGUGGCGAGUGGCGGACGGGUGAGGAAUACAUCGGAAUCUACUUUUUCGUGGGGGAUAACGUAGGGAAACUUACGCUAAUACCGCAUACGACCUACGGGUGAAAGCAGGGGAUCUUCGGACCUUGCGCGAUUGAAUGAGCCGAUGUCGGAUUAGCUAGUUGGCGGGGUAAAGGCCCACCAAGGCGACGAUCCGUAGCUGGUCUGAGAGGAUGAUCAGCCACACUGGAGCUGAGACACGGUCCAGACUCCUACGGGAGGCAGCAGUGGGGAAUAUUGGACAAUGGGCGCAAGCCUGAUCCAGCCAUACCGCGUGGGUGAAGAAGGCCUUCGGGUUGUAAAGCCCUUUUGUGGGGAAAGAAAAGCAGCAGGUUAAUACCCCGCUGUUCUGACGGUACCCGAAGAAUAAGCACCGGCUAACUUCGUG
rnacentral:rRNA from 1 species